CUUGAGUCUGGGAUUUCCGAAUGGGGAAACCCACUUGCAUAAGCAAGUAUCAUUAACUGAAUACAUAGGUUAAUGAGGCAAACCGGGGGAACUGAAACAUCUAAGUACCCCGAGGAAGAGAAAUCAACCGAGAUUCCGGUAGUAGCGGCGAGCGAAACCGGAUUAGCCCUUAAGCUAGUUCUGCGUUAGGUGAAUGUACUGGAAAGUACAGCGAUACAGGGUGAUAGCCCCGUAACCAAAAAUGCAGUCUUAGUGAAAUCGAGUAGGACGGGACACGUGAUAUCCUGUUUGAACAUGGGGGGACCAUCCUCCAAGGCUAAAUACUCCUGACUGACCGAUAGUGAACCAGUACCGUGAGGGAAAGGCGAAAAGAACCCCUGUGAGGGGAGUGAAAUAGAACCUGAAACCGUGUACGUACAAGCAGUAGGAGCCCACUUGUUGGGUGACUGCGUACCUUUUGUAUAAUGGGUCAGCGACUUAAUUUUAGUAGCAAGGUUAACCGUUUAGGGGAGCCGUAGGGAAACCGAGUCUUAACUGGGCGAAUUAGUUGCUAGGAUUAGACCCGAAACCGAGUGAUCUAGCCAUGGGCAGGUUGAAGGUGAGGUAACACUUACUGGAGGACCGAACCGACUAAUGUUGAAAAAUUAGCGGAUGACUUGUGGCUAGGGGUGAAAGGCCAAUCAAACUCGGAGAUAGCUGGUUCUCCCCGAAAGCUAUUUAGGUAGCGCCUCGGACGAAUACUACUGGGGGUAGAGCACUGUUAAGGCUAGGGGGUCAUCCCGACUUACCAACCCUUUGCAAACUCCGAAUACCAGUAAGUAAUAUCCGGGAGACACACGGCGGGUGCUAACGUCCGUCGUGAAGAGGGAAACAACCCAGACCGCCAGCUAAGGUCCCAAAGUUAUAGCUAAGUGGGAAACGAUGUGGGAAGGCUCAGACAGCCAGGAUGUUGGCUUAGAAGCAGCCAUCAUUUAAAGAAAGCGUAAUAGCUCACUGGUCGAGUCGGCCUGCGCGGAAGAUUUAACGGGGCUAAGCUAUACACCGAAGCUGCGGCAAUGUGAAUUUAUUCACAUUGGGUAGGGGAGCGUUCUGUAAGCCGUUGAAGGUGCAUUGUAAAGUGUGCUGGAGGUAUCAGAAGUGCGAAUGCUGACAUGAGUAACGAUAAAGGGAGUGAAAAACUCCCUCGCCGGAAGAUCAAGGGUUCCUGUCCAACGUUAAUCGGGGCAGGGUAAGUCGACCCCUAAGGCGAGGCCGAAAGGCGUAGUCGAUGGGAAACGGGUUAAUAUUCCCGUACUUCUUAUAAUUGCGAUGGAGGGACGGAGAAGGCUAGGUGAGCCUGGCGACGGUUGUCCAGGUCCAAGUAUGUAGGCUGAUG
rnacentral:rRNA from 1 species